UCCAACAUUGGUUACAGUUCUUGUGAGUGUGACUUCUUUCUCAAGAUUUGGAAUUGUGAUUGAAGGUAAGUUGAUAUCAAGCAUUGAUGGCUUAGGAAUUGGGCAUUUAGUCUUUUUACCGAGCACACGAGAGAUUGAGGAGUCGUUGUAACCCGCAGAACACAUAUAAUUGAUGUAAUCUUUGAUCCCCAUAUCGUAGACAAGUCCUGGUUUAGCAGCUUUUUCAGGGUUUACAAGUCCUCCUCCAUAGUCAAAUGGAUCUGCAAGCUUCUUGUUUGAUCCUUGAGCAAAAAUGGGUUCUCCAGAUGGACUUGUUCUCCAAGCUACAAAAGAAACAGAUCGAUUGGUUCGUGAUGGUUUGUUUAUGAAAAAGAAGAAUAAGAAGAAGCAAGAACCUGUUGUGACCAAAGCUGAUCUCAUUGCAGCAGGAGACCACUUAGGGUGUAGAGAUUUUAGGAGAACUAUGAUUCCAGAAACAACAGGAGUCGACAUCGAUGUCCCUGAAUGAAGUUUAAAUCCGUUGAACGCACCAGGAUCAAGCGGACUCACUGCCGCGAGUAUGCUAACACCCGGUGCUGCUAUAUCAGGCUACAAAGUAAAAACAUGACCAGAUAUAUAAGACCAUGUACAUAGGAGAUUUUUUGUGGGUAUCAUAAGCCUAAAAAUAUUAAAUUAAUAGACAAAGCAACUGAUUUGGACUUGAGAAGUAUCACUGGAGUGAUAAUUUCUGAUACCAGUCUCUAAUGACGUGGCGGCUUGUAAUUAGUCGAAAAAACGCGUUUUUGUGGAAAAUGAGAGAAAAAAAAAUUAUUUGCUCUCGACUAUCGCUCCAGUAGCCGAUGCUAGCAUGUAAUUUCGAUUUUACAAAUAAAUUUUGUUUUUUGAUGAUACCAAUACUGGUCUUACCACUGGAAAGAGAUUAUUAUGAGUAUCAUAAAAAAUCUCAAACAAUAAACAAGCAUUAAAAUUAAUAAUAAAAAAUUGUUGAUGAUACUCUAUGAGUACCAACUAUGUGCAUACUCUAACAAGUUUACACAAAAAGGAUUCAACUUUUAAAGUAAAUAUAGAUAAGAGGCUUUAUAACCUUGAGAAUGGCUGGUGAAACCGAGUUAGGCCCUCUAGAUGAGAAUGCAGCAACCUUAGGCGUUGCAGGCUGGCCGGUUAGUGUUGUGGCCGCACUAAUUCUCACAGUGGGAGAUCUGUUGGUUUGACGGAUCAAUAAUGUAUAUAUUCCAGAAAUGUAUAUGAACUUAUAUAAGUAUGUAACAGAGUGUUUUGGCAUCAAGAUAGAGAGACCUGGUAGUACGUAUGUAUUGUAAAAUGUGAGUUCCAAUCUCAUAAUCUGUGAAAAUGUAAGAAUUGUCUGGGGCAGGACGAUCAUCAGGCUUUUUGGCUAAGAUGACUGCUACUACACCUCUCCCUGCAAUUGAAGAAGGAUGAGUACUAUCGAAUUCAAGAAUUGUUUUCCCCUUCACAUCAACAUCAUCAUCCAAGAAAGCUAAACCCGUUGAAAUUUCCGGUCCAGUGAACAAAGAUUCAGCCAAAUUAGAUACCAACAAAAAACAACAAGUUAAUUUGAGCUUUUGGUAGCAAAAACAAUAAGGUCGAACUUUGAACUAUUUUCUCAAAGUUAUUUUUGGUAUCAAACGUACGAAGAAAGUUUGGUUAUUCCCAAGUGUGAUCUUUGUAGGAAAAGACCGGUCAAGAGUAGUUGCAGCAACAGUCAAGAGCCAUGGAGCAACAUUGCAAAUAGUCUGAGCACCAGACCCAUCAUUUCCCGCCGCAGCUACAACUGUAAUCCCUUUAGCCACCGCAUGAAAAGCCGCGAUAAAGUCGACCCUCUCGGAAUCCUCGGGAAUACUCGCCCCAAUAGAAACCGACAAAACAUCUACCUGAUCAUGUAUAGCAUCAUCAUAAGCCUUCCACAUAUCAGCAGAUGAGCAUAUACCGCCCCAUCCCACUACAUUCCAACAUGCCUUGUACGAGGCUAUGCGGGCCCGAGGGGCUCCACCUCGGACCGUACCUGAUAAGAAUCCCACAUCCGUUAAGAAAAAUAAAUAAUGUCUUAUAAAACCGGUACCUUGACUCUUAAGUUAACCUUUUUAGUGAAUAAAAUCCAUAAGGUUUUUGCUAUAUCACUACCUCGUGCUAGACCAUAAAAGCUUGCGUUGGGAACAAAUGAGCCACCGGCUAUUGUGGCUGUAUGCGUGCCGUGACCGGUUGCAUCUCUGUUGGAUUUGAAAUCACGGAUGAUUAUUCUGUUAAAUUUUCCUCCAUUCAUGGCGAGUAGACCGCUUUGAUAGUACUUAGCUCCUAUAAGCUUUUUGUUGCAAUGCAUUGUGGCGUUAAACUUUUCUCCUGAUCUACAUUUUCCUCUCCAACGCUUAGGUAUUGGUCCAAGACCUUGAUCGUUGAAGACCUUUGACUCUGGCCAUAUCCCUGCAUAUACAUACAUACAUGAUGUGCGCCAAGGAGAGAGAGCGAGAGAGUUAGAUUUAGAGAGAGAGAGAGAGUUAGAUUUAGAGAGAGAGAGAGAGAGAGAGACCUGAAUCAACGACGCCGAUGAUAGCUUCACUGCCCAUGCUGGUGUUAUGAAGUAGACCUUUCGCUUUUGCAGAUGAUGAUGAAGAAAAAGAAGUUGGAAUUGGAGAGAGGCCAAGAUGAUCCCAAAUUCUUGUGGUUUUCAGUUUCAGAAUCCGGUUUGGUAUAACAUGGAUUACUUCUGGAUGUUCUGUGUUUAUAUACAAGAUUCUGGAUUAGGAACCAAAAAAUCUUCAAUGCUCGAAGACCUUACAUGUGAGUUUUAGUUUUGUUUGCGUACCUGAGAUUUUCUUUGCUUGUGAAGAUGUAAGAAGCGCCGCGAAACCAGAGAAUCCAUGCUGGUAGCUGUAGAUCAUGGAGUUAUGUGCGUCUUCUUUGCUGUAUAUAUUAUUAGAGACACAAGUAUGAGAAGAGCUCGUACCAAACAAAGGAAAAGAAACAGAGGAGGGCUCAAGUUCUGUUAAAAACAGAGUAUGGAGAGGUUUUCUUGGGUGACAAGAAACGUAUUUGUUAUAUAAUUAUGAACUAAUCAUAUGUCUGAAUAUAUAAUGGAGAUUGAAUUUAAUAUAUGGAAAGUUUAAUGAACCGUCACAGUAUAUAUAAACAAGUUCAAUAGGUUAAUGUCCAAUAUAGAGAUUAGUCUCUAUAGAAGAAAUUUUGGCCUUCUUUUAAGGAUGAUUAAAGUAAAGUACCUUUGAAGAAGUGAUUCAAGCAUUUGAUGAUGAGAAGCGGUGAGAAGUUCAGGAUCAUCGUGUUCCCUUUGGCCAAGAUACACUAUAUAAACCUUAUAAAUCCGCCAAAAAACCACCGAAAAAGUUAGAAAUAUCAGUAAAUUCUUAGCGAUUUUUCGCAAAAUAGAACACCGUUUUAAUUUAGUUACAUUUACAUACCUUGCUGUUACUAUCUGAGGCUCCUUCAGCUGUAAGAAAACUCAGCUCUGUGUUCAGAAAUAGGACCAAAGCAAUUGCCAAUAGAAACACAAGUUUGGAACUUAGGAAAGAGUUCUCCAUUUUAUGCAGUGAGAAGUGUGUGUGAUUCUGUCGAAGAGAAGCUUUAUUAUAUACAUAGUGUGUCUUUAGGGAGUGAACUAUUGCGUAAGAUUCGAAUUCAAUUAUUGGUUUAUUCGGCUCAAUAUCGGUAUGGUAAUUCUGAAUCAUACCGGUUUUAUCUCUUGUGUAACGUUAUUUCCCGCCAUGGAUCUCAAGAGGGCUCAGUUUUAACUCUUACAAUUGUCGUCUUUCUUAUUAUUGAUGUCUUUCUUAUUAUAGAUAUACUAAUAGUGUACCUACUUUAAUUUCAGCUGAGUAUAAGAGGAUAUCAAUCAUUUCUAACUAAUAGAGUAGAUUAGGUAUCUGUAUAAGUUGGUAGAUCAUGAUUGUCUGAAUUACUCAUUUUAGUAAAACAGAUUAUAUUCUGAACUUUAAUAUAUAUAGGAUCACAGGAGAGCAAACCAGUUCCAUUUUUUGCAUUUAUGUGUACACUAAAAUAUCACAUCUUUAUAAUAUAUAGUCAAUAUGAUGAUUAUAUAUUUGUAUGUAAUGUUACAGCUAUAGGUUAUGAUCAUGAUCUUUUAUAAGAGAUUCUAAGGUAUUUGUGAUUUGAUCUUUUAUUAUGAUGAUCUUGAAUCUUGAUUUGACAUUUUAGACUUAGAUUUGCAACAAAUUACAUAAGAACAAACACAAUGAGCAUCAUAUGGCUCUUUUUAUUACAUCGAAAUCGUUGUCUUAACAGAGACAGGGAUUAUAACAUCAUGAACACCAUCACUCCAUGUUAAGCUUCCAAAGAAGUAGCCAGUGUUGACUUUGUGACUUGUUUUAGCCUUAACCGAGAAAGUGAGUACUCUCUUAGCUGCAGACUUAAACACGAGUGUGGUUGGGUUCACGGUGAGAGUUAUACCGAGAGGAGACUCGAUCACAGCUCUAUAGACUGACUUGAUGGGUCCAACAUUGGUUACAGUUCUUGUGAGUGUGACUUCUUUCUCAAGAUUUGGAAUUGUGAUUGAAGGUAAGUUGAUAUCAAGCAUUGAUGGCUUAGGAAUUGGGCAAUUAGUCUUUUUACCGAGCACACGAGAGAUUGAAGAGUCGUUGUAACCCGCAGAACACAUAUACUUGAUGUAAUCCACAAUCCCCAUAUCGUAGACAAGUCCUG
rnacentral:lncRNA from 1 species